ACGGGUGAGUAACGCGUGGGUAAUCUACCCCGGUCUGGGGGAUAACGCACCGAAAGGUGCGCUAAUACCGCAUGACCCGGCAGGUCAUUGGAUCUGUCGGAAAAGGUGGCCUCUACAUGUAAGCUACCGAACUGGGAUGAGCCCGCGUCCUAUUAGCUUGUUGGUGGGGUAAAGGCCUACCAAGGCGACGAUGGGUAGCUGGUCUGAGAGGACGGCCAGCCACACUGGAACUGGUACACGGUCCAGACUCCUACGGGAGGCAGCAGUGAGGAAUAUUGCGCAAUGGGGGAAACCCUGACGCAGCGAUGCCGCGUGGGUGAAGAAGGCCUUCGGGUCGUAAAGCCCUGUCAGGCGGGAAGAAUAGCUCGGUGGCUAAUAUCCACCGGGUGUGACGGUACCGCUGAAGGAAGCACCGGCUAACUCCGUGCCAGCAGCCGCGGUAAGACGGAGGGUGCGAGCGUUAUUCGGAUUUAUUGGGCGUAAAGAGCAUGUAGGCGGUCGGCCAAGUCUGAUGUGAAAGCCCGGGGCUUAACCUCGGAAGGGCGUUGGAAACUGGUCAACUUGAGUUCGGGAGAGGAAAGCGGA
rnacentral:rRNA from 1 species